UGGCCACCAAAACUAAAAGGGGAGCUACCAACAUGCUCAUCUCCUUGCGCUCUAAACUAUUCUUCAAUCAAUUUCAUGAAAAUGGAGCUCCACAACCCUUACAUAAAUGAUUCACUCCAAGAAACCUAACGCGACAAUCUCAAAUUAAAUCUUGUCCUUAAUGAUUCAAAGCCCCAGGGAUGGGGGCUAUGAGUCGUCUCCUCACUCUCUACAUACUGGUAACCGAAUUUGAAGAAAAGCGAAAGUUUUCCGAAUUACCUUGCGGGAGUUGGCGAUGGCGAUGAUGAGCUUCCAGGUUGUGCAUCAGAGAUGGAUUGUUGAGUUAUUGAGUGUUGAGGUUGUUGUUGUUAUGCUGCCAGAUUUGGUGCUAUGCCUAGUGGAUAUCUAGCCUUAGACAAUUGUUUCCAUCCAUGUUGAUGACCAUAUUGCAGGGCAUUGCUUAAACAAGACUGCAGGUUUGUUGGCAAAUUGACAUUGAUGCAGUUCAAUUGUGGCUAUUGUAUUGCAGGAUGCUCAUGGUAACAACAAAGCAAUAGUGCUGGACCAAGCUCCAAGAGGCUUCCAUAUCAUGGUAUUGAGGUUUGGGCAUGUUAUGUUGCCAGUCCCAAUGGUUUGGAUGUAGUUCUGCAGUGUGUUCCAACUGGCAUGAACCUGGCAGGUUUGGUGUGAACAUGAACAUGGUUAGUCAAAGCUAACUUGCAAAUGAAGAAGCAUGGCACAAGCAAACCAAUCAUGACCUUUAGAUGAUGAAUCAAGGCAAGGUAUAUUAGAUUAUAUCUUAAGUGGCAAAAAAAGGGAUGAGUUGACUUUGGUCAAAGUUGACCAAAAAGUCAAUGGUUGACCAAAGUGCACA